ACCACUGCAGCGAGGUGGCCGCCUGGGCCUGAGCGCCCUCUGCCGGACACCCGCCGGGCAUCCCAGAUCCGGCUUGGUCCUGGGUCUCAGUUCCUGGGUUUCUGGGCACUGACUAAGUGGGCUGCACCCCGACUCCCGGAGAGGGCUGUGAUCCUGCCCUAAAGAAUCAGAUCCUAGGCCUGCGGCCCGCUACAAAGACCACGAACCGCACGCCAAGGUCCACUGUGUAGGAUCUCUGACGGUCCUCUCUCCAGUUUUGCUUGGUCGCCUCCACGGACGUGGACCCUGCCCUCCAAAUGCCACAGCGUACAUCGCCUAGAAUUCCCGAGUUUACAACUACAGCGGCAAAACGCUGAUGCUUUCGUCUCUCCACGCAGUCCUUCCCCAUCUAGGGAAGCAGAUGAGGGAGGAGCAUCUCCCCACUUCACAGAUGGACACGUGGAGCCUUCACCCAGGUCGCACGAUGACUACGUGCAAGAUUGACACCCACAGCCCCGCCCUGGAGCUGCAUUUGUUGUCCCCACUGUGAGCAACAAAGCGCGGCCCUUGCUCACCAGGUCACUCAGGAACAUCAGCUGGAGGACCGACAGGACUCAACCGGCCAGCGAGAGCAGGGCCAGCUCCUCGCUAGGCUGCGGGGAGGGCGUUUCGGGGCCGGAGGUCAGGGUUGGGAUGUGGGGGGUCUGCGCGGAGGUCUGUGCCGCCCGGGGCUCUCUCCCCACCAAGGCCGCCGCACCGGGCGGGGCAGGGCUGAGCGCGGGGCCACCCGGACGGCAUCCCGGCGGGCGGCCAGGGGGCAGCACCUGGUCGCGAGCCUCCCGCGCCUGCGGCAGUGGCGGCUUCCGAGGGGGCGGGGCCGCGGCCCCACCUGAGCUUCCUCGAUGCGCGAGUCUACCCCGCCCCACCUGCUGACGGGUCCCCGCACGAGAGGAUCUCGCUCUGUAAUCCAGGCUGACCUUGGCCUCAUUAUGUACUCCAGGUGGGCCUCGAACUCUUGGCGAUCCUACUGCCUCACCCGCCCGUGUGCUGGGAUUACAGCCACGCCCAGCCUUACCCCACAUGUUUGAAUUAUCUCAGAAACAUACUUUGAGCACCUCCUGUGUCCAGCCCGGAGUUCCCGCCCUGCGCCCAGUCUUCCUGGCCAUCUAGGCUGAAGGACCGGCGGAUCUAGGCAGCCUAAACUUCAAGGGCAGGAAUCCUCAGGUUGAAUACUGAAGGCAGCCGCGGUGGAGCAGGAUCUCCGGGCGCCUGCGAGGAUGAGCAGAGAGGGGACUGUGUUGGACCCGCGCCUCUCUGAGCCGGCAUCUGGCGCCGGGCUCAUUCCUAACACAAGGAAGACCCCUUGUGGCCAUCCUGUGCAGAGCACGCAAGGAAGGAGGGUCCAGCUGCGAGACGAAGGUCCCCAACCCAGACUCAGUUCUUGGAAAAAAUGGAGACGUAUGUAUUCCCUGGGGGAUUUAGGAGUUCACGGUAUCCCAGAACCCUUCGCCACAUUCCCAUACCCUUAAUUCCCAACAUUUGUGAGCUUAAACAAAUCUCGCUAAACCACGAGGAAAAACAAACAGCAGCAAGUGUGAUUGCGGUUAGACUGUCGGAUGACUUCUCAAGAGACAUGGAGCCGGGCGUGGUAACUAACACGCACGCCUAUAAUCCCAGCACUCAAGAGCUGAGGCAAGAGGAUUGCCACAAAUUCGAGGCCAGCUCGGGAUACGUAGAGUUCAAGGCCAGUCUGACCUUGUCUCAAAAACAAACACAAAAAAUGGAAGACAAGAACACAGGUUUUCAGACCCACUUCCCCGGCGGUGGGGAGAGGGCGUCCUCUGAGACUGGGACAUGUGUGGGUUUGUCAUGCGGGUUUAUCGCGCCCUCCCGCUCCUGGGGAAGGUAGGGGGCUAAAUCAACAGCGAGGAGUCAGGUUUGUUGGGGGCAGAGUCUUUCUCCUCUGCCUGCCCCUUACUCAAGGCUGGGACUGUGGGCGCCAGAGUACAAAUUACUGGGAACAGGAAGAGGACCAACGUUUACCCCAAGACAGUGGUGGUCCUGACGCAAGAUCUUCAAGACUUGGACAACUCAUUUCCCCCACCUCCAACCCCAUCCCCAACCCGGUCUGAAUUUUAGGGAGCCUGGGAGCGGCAGGGAUGCUGCACCCCUUCCCCCACCCUUUGCUCCUGCCCAAGCGCCGAGCUGGGGCAGCAUAAUUUACAUAUAUUUACAUAUCCAGCUGCGCACAGCUGCAUUCGGCUUUGGACCAUAAAUUCCUGGCAGGCAGCUGGGGGCGAGUAGGCCCCACGCGGGGCAGGAGAUCUGUCUGCGCCUCCGCUGCGGCUGUGCUCGCCCCAGGUGCCAGCGGCUUCUCAUGCCCCUCGAAGCAGCUGUGAAUGCUAUUCUGCCCCUCCCCGCUCCUCCUCCGGCUCGCGCCCCCUUCUGGACAUCUGUCUGCCUGCACGAUCUCAGGUCAACCCUGAAACCCCAAGCUCUCAAGUCCUCUGUCUCGCCGGACUCGACCUAGUCAUGGUCGCCUGGGUGUAUUCACUUUUCCCUGACACCUUAGGCCAAAGGCUUCUGGUCGGAUUUUCUCACCAGGGCUGGUGCAUGGACUCCCCAGUGGUAGUCACGCUUCUGGGGUUACCCUGCUAAGAAAGGGGUCUGAUCAAAUUCUACUUAAAAUUCUGUCCACUCUCUUGGCUUGCAUAAUAAAGCUUAUGUUGUUCGCCCUCGC